rnacentral:rRNA from 1 species
AUUGAACGCUGGCGGAAUGCUUUACACAUGCAAGUCGAGCGGCAGCACGGACUUCGGUCUGGUGGCGAGUGGCGAACGGGUGAGUAAUAUAUCGGAACGUGCCCAGUCGUGGGGGAUAACGUAGUGAAAAUUACGCUAAUACCGCAUACGAUCUAUGGAUGAAAGCGGGGGAUCGCAAGACCUCGCGCGAUUGGAGCGGCCGAUAUCAGAUUAGGUAGUUGGUGAGGUAAAGGCUCACCAAGCCAACGAUCUGUAGCUGGUCUGAGAGGACGACCAGCCACACCGGAACUGAGACACGGUCCAGACUCCUACGGGAGGCAGCAGUGGGGAAUUUAGGACAAUGGACGCAAGUCUGAUCCAGCCAUUCCGCGUGCAGGACGAAGGCCUUCGGGUUGUAAACUGCUUUUGUACAGAACGAAAAGGUUUCUAUUAAUACUAGGGGCUCAUGACGGUACUGUAAGAAUAAGCACCGGCUAACUACGUGCCAGCCGCCGCCGUAA